rnacentral:tRNA from 1 species
GUUCCCAUAGUUGAAUAACAACGGUGGCUUUUCGAGCCAUUGGUCUCGGUUAAACCCCGGGUGGGAACU